GAUGAACGCUGGCGGCGUGCUUAACACAUGCAAGUCGAACGGUGAAAGCGGAGCUUGCUCCGCUGGAUCAGUGGCGAACGGGUGAGUAACACGUGGGCAACCUGCCCCUCACUUCGGGAUAACUCCGGGAAACCGGGGCUAAUACCGGAUAUGACCUCCUUGGGCAUCCUUGGAGGUGGAAAGUUUUUCGGUGAGGGAUGGGCCCGCGGCCUAUCAGCUUGUUGGUGAGGUAGUGGCUCACCAAGGCGACGACGGGUAGCCGGCCUGAGAGGGCGACCGGCCACACUGGGACUGAGACACGGCCCGGACUCCUACGGGAGGCAGCAGUGGGGAAUAUUGCGCAAUGGACGAAAGCCUGACGCAGCAACGCCGCGUGCGGGAUGACGGCCUUCGGGUUGUAAACCGCUUUCAGCAGGGAAGAAGCCGCAAGGUGACGGUACCUGCAGAAGAAGCACCGGCUAACUACGUGCCAGCCGCCGCCGUAA
rnacentral:rRNA from 1 species